AGUGGGCUUGUUAUAAAAGCAAGUUCAGCCUCCUCUUGCUCUUGCUCUCUUGCCCUUCUGCCUUUUGCCAUGAGAUGACACCAGAUGCAGACCCCUCAACCUUGUACUCCUCAGUCUCCAGAACUUGUUUCGAUGAAGAUACAAGAACAACUGAUGAUAAUAUGUCAGCAAGUCAUUAAUUUUGGGCUAGUUAACAGGCAGUUUGAACUAAAAUGGCAAACCAAUUCAUUGAAAAAUAUUUAAAAGUUUAAAAAAUAAUAAAAGUAUCAGACUAUUAACAGAAAUACAAAGAUAAUUGAAGACAGUAAGAAAGAACAGAAUUAUGGAAGCAGAAAAUUGAACCAGUAAUACAGAAGUAAAUUUGAUAAAAUUUUCCAUUAUAUAGGGUGUCUUAGCACAACUCUGCUGCUAUAACAAGAUACCUAAGCUGGUAAUUUAUAAUAAACAGGAAUUUAUUUUCUCACAGUUCAGAAGACUGGGAAGUCCAAGAUUAAUGCACCGGCAGUUUUGUUUUUUGUUUGUUUGUUUGUUUGUUUGUGUCCAGAGAGGGGUGCUCUUGCUGCUCCCUUAAUGAGGUCUUGUUGCUACAUCCCCAGAGGGAAGAAAUGUUGUUUUUUAUGUGGCAGAAGAAAUAGAAGGGCAAAAAUGAAUGAACUUCCUCCAUCAUGCCCUAUUUUAACGACACCGAAUCCUAGUCAUGAGGGACUCAAUCACCUUCUAAUGGCCACACCUCCUAAUACUGUUCUAUUGGGAAUUAAGUUUCAACAUGAAUUCUGAAAGAGACAAAAAUAUUCAAGCCAUAGCAUAGAAAUUACAUGAAAAUAAUAACAAAUAAAAGAGACAAAAACAUAUGGAGAAGAUACAUAAUUUAGAAUGAACAUAUUCAAUGUAAGAAAGAAUAGAAACAAAUAAAACAGAAAGCAAUAAUCAAACAUAUAAUUGAAGAAAUGUUCUGAAUUGGAGAAGAGAAAGGGUUUUGAAAGGUGUUAAUAUACACCAGGCAAAAAAUAAUAAUAAUAACAGCAUACCAACUUUAGAUGUGCAGUGGCAACAUUUAAAAAUUUUAAUAUUAAAAAAUUUUUUAAAUCCAGUUGAAAGAUUAUCAGCAAAUCACAAAAAUUAAGCUGAUUUAAAAAUUCUCCAUGACAACAUCAGAAUUAAAUGAAAUGAUUUGUAUGGCAUUUGUAUCUGAAUAACCUAAUACACAUUCACUAAAUGGAAGCCAUAGAAAAUAUUCUCAGAUCCAUAAGAAAAAAGAAAACAAGUGACUCAUAAAUAUUCUGGAAAUAUUUUGUUCAGUUUUGGUUUUCGUUUUUCAAGACUAUUGAGAUAUAAUUCACAAAUAAAAAGUAUAUCUAUUUAGAGGUAUAGAAUGUGAUGUUUU
rnacentral:lncRNA from 1 species